rnacentral:rRNA from 1 species
AGAGUUUGAUCCUGGCUCAGGAUGAACGCUAGCUACAGGCUUAACACAUGCAAGUCGAGGGGCAGCAUGACGGUAGCUCGCUAUCGUUGAUGGCGACCGGCGCACGGGUGAGUAACGCGUAUCCAACCUUCCCAUGACUCCGGUUCAGCCCGCCGAAAGGCGGAUUACUCCCGGAUGGUUUCCGAAGAGGGCAUCUGAUUUGGAAUAAAGAUUGAUCGGUCAUGGAUGGGGAUGCGUCUGAUUAGGCAGCAGGCGGGGUAACGGCCCACCUGGCCUACGAUCAGUAGGGGUUCUGAGAGGAAGGUCCCCCACACUGGAACUGAGACACGGUCCAGACUCCUACGGGAGGCAGCAGUGAGGAAUAUUGGUCAAUGGGCGAGAGCCUGAACCAGCCAAGUAGCGUGCAGGAUGACGGCCCUAUGGGUUGUAAACUGCUUUUAUAUGAGGAUAAAGUUCGUUACGUGUAACGUUUUGCAGGUAUCAUAUGAAUAAGGACCGGCUAAUUCCGUGCCAGCAGCCGCGGUAAUACGGAAGGUCCGGGCGUUAUCCGGAUUUAUUGGGUUUAAAGGGAGCGCAGACGGUCAGUUAAGCGUGCAGUUAAAUGAUGUGGCUCAACCAUGUUAUGCUGCGCGAACUGGCUGACUUGAGUUCACGGAACGUGGGCGGAAUUUGUGGUGUAGCGGUGAAAUGCUUAGAUAUCACGAAGAACUCCGAUUGCGAAGGCAGCCCGCGGCAGUGUUACUGACGUUCAUGCUCGAAGGUGCGGGUAUCGAACAGGAUUAGAUACCCUGGUAGUCCGCACGGUAAACGAUGGAUGCUCGCUGUCGGCGAUACAUGUCGGCGGCCUAGGAAAGCAUAACAUCCCACCGGG